rnacentral:rRNA from 1 species
GAUGAACGCUGGCGGCGUGCCUAAUACAUGCAAGUCGAGCGAACAGAUAAGGAGCUUGCUCCUUUGACGUUAGCGGCGGACGGGUGAGUAACACGUGGGUAACCUACCUAUAAGACUGGAAUAACUCCGGGAAACCGGGGCUAAUGCCGGAUAACAUGUUGAACCGCAUGGUUCUACAGUGAAAGGCGGCUUUGCUGUCACUUAUAGAUGGACCCGCGCCGUAUUAGCUAGUUAGUGAGGUAACGGCUCACCAAGGCAACGAUACGUAGCCGACCUGAGAGGGUGAUCGGCCACACUGGAACUGAGACACGGUCCAGACUCCUACGGGAGGCAGCAGUAGGGAAUCUUCCGCAAUGGGCGAAAGCCUGACGGAGCAACGCCGCGUGAGUGAUGAAGGUCUUCGGAUCGUAAAACUCUGUUAUUAGGGAAGAACAAAUGCGUAAGUAACUGUGCGCGUCUUGACGGUACCUAAUCAGAAAGCCACGGCUAACUACGUG